GCCUCCUCUCCUGGCCAACCUGCACAAAGUUCCUCAGCUCUCCAUAUGGUUCCAUGUCCUAUCUAUGAUUUUGAGGAGACUGAAGACAGCAGAUGUCUUUCUAACACACUUUACUCCACUGCUCUGCCUCCCUCAAUCCCGUCUGAGAUUUAUUCCAACACUGGAUUAAACACAGUUCCACCUGAUUCACUAGCUGGUGUUGCUCCGCCAACAGUCGAGAAAUUUGAUGAAAGUUCAAUGUAUGCAGCAGUGAGUUUUGACACCAUGUCUAAUUGAUCAGAUCCAAGUGAAUAUGCUACUGUUAACAAAAAUAGAUAGAUAUCACUAGUUAGCCUACUUCAGAAUGCUAAUAAUUCUGAGCUAUUUUUAAUUUGCGUCUAACAUUACAUUAGAGUUUGUUGUGCUAUAGUGCUGAUUGGUCAGUAGGUUUACUUUAACUUUCUAUAACACCAGAGUGGAUUUAAAAAGUAUGCCAUAAACGUGUAUGAAAAUUUGCUGUACAUGUCUGAUUUUACUUUUGUUUAACACAAUAUUAUAAAGUAAGAUUAAGUAUGCAGAGUAGAAUGAUGAAAUAUUCAUGAACUUGUUUAUAUUUCUUUUUUAUAAAAUGGGGAAUAAUAAUGUAAGGGGUAAUAUAGCACUGUAACCGGUAUCGGUAUGGGCUAGGUUCGACCGUCUAGAGAACUUUAUUAAUCCCAGAGGGAAAAUGUUUUGCUUGCUUUGAUUAAUUUACCAAAAAAAGAAGAAAUUAGAUUAGACAAGGAAAAAAAAGAAAGAAAAAUUAAGAAAAAUAGCAAUAAAUAGAAGAUAAUUAAUAAACACAAUAAUAACAAAAUAACACAAUUUACAAUUAAAUAAUCCUCUGGUCUAUACCAGCCCAGUAUUUAACAUUAUUUAUCCUGUUUCUGUGAGAAGCACUUGAUGGACCGG